UACAGGGGGUGCAAACGUUGCUCGGAAUUAUUGGGCGUAAAGCGCGCGUAGGCGGUUUUCUAAGUCGGAUGUGAAAGCCCUUGGCUCAACCGAGGAAGUGCAUCCGAAACUGGAAAGCUAGAGUCCCAAAGAGGAUCGCGGAAUUCCCAGUGUAGAGGUGAAAUUCGUAGAUAUCUGGAGGAACACCGGUGGCGAAGGCGGCAUCCUGGACCGAUACUGACGCUGAGGAGCGAAAGCCAGGGGAGCAAACGGG
rnacentral:rRNA from 1 species